UGACUAUUUGGUCUCUUUAUUUUAGUGAAACUAAUUAGUUGAUCAAUGUAUUUUGAAAAAUAUAGCAUUUUGAAAAUUAUAUUAUUAGAUAAAAAUAGAAAUUUUACCUUGUGGGGACUAAAUCUGAAUUUAUAUAUUUUUUUAAAUUUUCAAUUCCUUAGAUAUCAUUUUUAUAUUUUCACUACUGAAAAAUAAUUUUUUUUUAUUACUUUCAAAUUUGAGUAAACUGAUUAAUUUUUUUGUAUAGAUAAUUUGUACUGUUUUUAUUAACGGGUGAAAGCAAAGAGAGAAUGGGGGGGAGAGGGUGCGAGCGUAGAGGAGAUGCAAUAUGGAGAGACAGAAAUAAAAGAAGACAAGAGAGAAAUAAGGGGAAUAUUAAGGUAGUUUAAUUAUAAAAAAUAAUUAUGGGACUAAAUAGUUAACGGAGUCAAAUUACAGGAAUUAACUAAUGUGUUUUUCUAAAAUAGAGGAACUAACUAAUUAGUUUCACUAAAAUAGAUGAACUAAAUAGUAAUUUGACUAGUAUUGACUAACAGAAAAAUUGACAGAGCGACUAAACAAUUUAAUGGAGGCAAAAUACAAGGACUAAAUAGUAUAUUUUUUAAAAUAUAGGGACCAAAUAGUUACUUUCAUUAAAAUACAGAGACUAAAUAGUAAUUUAACCUAAAAGUUAUACUGUGUUAUUUCCUUAGAGUUAGUACGAUGUGUAGUGCUCCAACUUUUUUUUUUCCUGAUAAGGUCUUCACUGCUUACUCCUUAUGUUGGUUUAUCAUUUGUAUCAUAUGGAAUUUGAAAUUGAAAUAUGCAUUAGUAUUUCUGAGUGUGAAUUAUGUAAGGAUUGAGUUGUAGCUUGAUCCAGGCUAUGGAUUUUUAAUGCCCUAUGCAAUGCUUACUAUUACUUUAUUACAUAUUUUGAUGAUUUCUGUUACUCAACUCCAUUCUCUGUGUAUUUUGUCUACCUGAUCCUUAGCAUGGAGGCAGCGCUAAUUUCUUUUACAUCUUCUGAGCACACCAAUUACUAUUUUGAUGUCAACAAUGAUUAUUUUGAAGAUGCUUUGGACAGGUAAAUCCAUGUUUCCUUUUGCUGAUAGUUUGUUAUUUUCAUCGGUACCCUCAUAAGGUUUGUGAGCUUGGUUUUUUGCAUGUGAUGUACUGUUCAGAUUUGCACAGUUCUUUAUUAAACCAUUAAUGUCAGCUGAUGCAACAACGAAAGAGAUUAAGGUUGUCGAUUCUGGUUAGGUUUUAUGUUCAGUAGCCACUCUCUUUUAUCUUUAUAAAAUGUUUUAAUUCCCUAAUGUUGUAGCUGUCCUAUUGAGGAUAUUUGCAGAUAGUAUGUGCGUGCAUAAGUCUGUCUGCAGAGGAUAUUUUUGUCUGUGUACAGAGAUUAAAAUUACAGAGCUUUGUGCUGGAUGUUUCUAUUGUGACUUUCAUCUGCUUUCCCCCUUCUGUGCCCUUCUUUAUUUUUCCAUAUUUACUUUUCUGAAAACCAAUUGCAUUAACCAUGUGAUUUGGUUAGUGGUUACUGGAUGAGAGAGUUUUCUUUUUUUUAAAGUAGUGAUUGAUCUUACUGAUGCUGGUCAUGGUUAGUUUUAGUAUUCUUUCCAACUUCAGUUUUGUCUGAUUGGUCUGUGAGCCUUGGACUUAUCUUUUGACGGAGCUGCAAAGUUUAAUUUUAGCUUAUUUGUCUGACACCUGGAGCUGAUCUGUUUUCUGGGCAAACUAUUUUUCUUGAUUGAAUACAGAACACAUGCAGGAUAUUGUAGGGCUGCUAUUCAAAUACAUUCAGCUCUUGCAGCAAUCUGGUGUUAGCAAAUGGAUAUUUGAUGACUUUGCUGCUGUUUGUGAGACAAUAUUUCAUUAUCAGGACAAAACCCCUCUGAUUGAUUACGUGGUCAAAAUUGCAUCCAAUAUGGAGGCACGUUUGUAUUCCUUCCUUUCCAUUUUUUUUAACGUGCCACCUUUUGGAUUUGUAUAUUUUUGUUUCUUUUGGUUGACAUUGUAGUUACACGAUACUCAAAAUGUUAUUCCGGUGCAAAUUGUGCUAAAAUUGCUCUUAUAGAAAGGUAGUUGGAAAAGUUCCUUGAAACAGCAAGCAUCUUUAUUUCAUUACAUCCUUCAAGUUAUGAAAAGCAACACCCAUUUGUACAUUUCAUUGUGUUCUGUGAGUUAGAGAGUUGUUAAUUUGAGAGGUGGCUUAUUGUGAGGACAAAGUGAAGAUAAAAAACUUGCACCACUGGUGGGGAGGAAAGAUUUUUGUUUAAUGCCCCAAGCAUGCAAAGCAAGCCAUUAUGCAAAUCCAUUGUUCAACGGGAUCUCCGUGAUUUCUAUCUAUACAUUUGGAAGAUCCUACAAGAGUCAUACAGCUGUAUCAUUCCCUCCCUCUAUUAUAAAUGAAUUAAUUAUUCAUGCUCAGUUAAUGUCAUAACAAGCCAAUGUAAUAUUGGCACUGUAUGAAAUUUUGGUAAGAUUUGUUCUAUCUUUGGAUAGUUUUCUUUAUAAAUUCUUUAUUUCUAUCUUA